rnacentral:rRNA from 1 species
AUUUGUCUGGUUAAUUCCGAUAACGAACGAGACCUUAACCUGCUAACUAGAUUCUUCUAUACUAUAGAUGAUAUCUUCUUAGAGGGACUAUGUAAUACAAAUACAUGGAAGUUUGAGGCAAUAACAGGUCAGUGAUGCCCUUAUAUGUCCUGGGCUGCACGCGUGCUACACUGAUGCAUACAACAAGUGCCUAACCAGACAUGGUAUGGCAAUCUCGAAUAUGCAUCGUGAUGGGGAUAGAUCUUUGCAAUUAUAGAUCUUGAACGAGGAAUUCCUAGUAAGUGCAAGUCAUCAUCUUGCAUUGAUUAUGUCCCUGCCCUUUGUACACACCGCCCGUCGCUCCUACCGAUACCGGGUGAUCCGGUGAACCUUUUGGACUCAUUUGGGAAAGAUAGGUAAACCAUAUCACCUAGAGGAAGGAGAAGUCGUAACAAGGUUUCCGUAGGUGAACCUGCRGAAGGAUCA